rnacentral:misc_RNA from 1 species
AGUCGUAACAAGGUAUCCGUAGGUGAACCUGCGGAUGGAUCAUUACCAAAAAGGAUUUUUCCUGACGUACUGUGAACUGUAUUGAAUGCAUGGUUAGUGAGUGGAGGUUUUGUGGAGUUUUAUUUCUCUAUAACCCCAAUACUCAUUAACUAUAAACAAAACGUAUUUUCUCCAUAAACUGACGUCUGCUUUAGCUUAAUAAACUAAAGACAACUUUUAGCAAUGGAUCUCUUGGCUCUC